GGAAAGAUAAGCUAAGCUAAGCUACCAGGUUCAUACCCUGUUUAUGGAGGUCACUCCUCUUUCUA
rnacentral:tRNA from 1 species